GUUGGUUUGAUCAUUCUUGGCCGAGGACUGAACAAAGUUCGACUUUCUAAGUUCUGCUCAUGGGAUGGAAUGUGUCUGAUUCACUUCAGCAUAGAUUUAAAACAGCAGUAAAUGCCUAGAAGUUUUGCGCAAAAACCCAAAACCAAAAUUGUAGCAAAUGCUGCGUUUUGACAGGGAUCUGUGUGCUGGACUACUUCCUGUCUGAGCAGGAGAGAUUCCACUCUGAGUUGAGGAGGGAGGUGCAGUGCAAAUUUAGUUGCACUUUUUUUCCAGGCAGGUCAAUGGUUUCCUUCUGUUUCCACUCUCUGUGCUUACCUCCAGCUUCAGAUUUCACACCCAGACACGCGAGUUCUAUCACUGCGCUCGAGUAUGGCCCAGAAAUAUGGUUUCCAUUUUCAGUAGAAAAUGAAAACAGACAGUGACUUUAGUCUGCGUUAGUCGCUCAAAUUGAUCUUCCACGUUUCCCCCGGCGUCAAACUGUUUGGGUAAUUAAAUCAAAGGCGAGCGCUCAGACGUCUGUUUCCACGUGGCUGAUGAGAACUCAAACGCUCCAGGUGCUGAGGGAGAAUGUGCCGUGUGGGCUGAAGUGAGCAGGAAGGCAGUGUGGGGCAAAUAUCAGCAGUGUUCACGCUCUAGUUUCAGUACUAUCUCUACUACACAUCUUGCACAAGGCCCUUAAACAAACACACAACAUUACGCACAAAUACUUCUAUGUACACAACAGAAAGGAAACACUGACCGAGGCUUUGUCAACUUGUAGUCGUGUUAGAAGGUGUGACUGUGUGUUUGACCAGGAUAUAUUCACCGUGUGGAGCUUCACGGCCGUUUAUAUUCACACAACACUACAAACGUCCUGCUUCUUUGGAAUAUUCUGCUGGUGCACGAGAUGAUGAUGAUGAUGAUGAUGAUGGUGCUGCCCUGAACACGGUAGAGGUGACGACGGUGAUGAUGAUGAAGGCUGCAGCGGAGGAGCAGGAAGUCAAGGACCAAAACAAGAGGCCUCUCCCAAUCUCCAGACAUUUUCCUGCCUCAGAUCCAAACCAUCCCAUCAGCUGAUCCUCCUACACCACAGCACAGAGGAGUCCACCCUACCAUACCAUACAACACCGAGGUCAAACCCACGGGGACGGACCAGAGAUUCCUCACGUUUGUCGACCUGAGGCACAGACCUGACGGAGCAGCGCGGUGCAUGAGUGGGUUAGAACGAGCACCUGAAUAAACACAGAGUGUUUAUGGGAGUGGAACGAGCGAGGGGGGAAAGACAGAACAAAAACGGGGAGAAAAACAACUGGGCUUUGCUUGGCACCGACAAGUCAAACAGUAGCUUCAACACGGUGGAAAACCAGGGCUGAACCUUCACCCAGUCGUACGGCGGAGGACGAGCGCAGCAGCCGGGGAAAAAGGUGGAAAAGGAGGAGUUAAAACUCAACAACAUAACUAUUACAGAAAAGAAAAAAAACAACAAUUUGAUCUGAUUUGAUCUGGAGUGCAUGUUGUUCUCCAGUUGUGGGCAGCGAGCCUGCUGACAGGGAGGGGCUUCAUACCUCUGAGUCAAGUUCAGAUGUGAUGGGCCUGGAGUUGGUAACAGCUCUGCUCUGCUGUCACAGCUGACGUGAUUCAUGGUUCAACAGAACUGCAGUUUUUACAACAACAAAAACACUGAUCAGCCCUCAUUAACUGCAUAAACCACACACUUGGCGCCUCCUAGGGGCGACCUGUUGCAGCAGCUCUGUGGGUAGCACGAGAAUUUGCACGUGUGUGGGAUCAAUAAAGUUCAAAUUAUUGUUGUUGUUAUUAAUGAACUGCAGUUUCAACCACCUGCAGUACCUCUGUCCUCCACUGGGGAGCAGCUGAAGAGACAUAAAAACUCCUGAUGCUGCAGAGAAAGCAGUUAUUCUCUCCUGUCGUCGCUCAGUUUAUCUGCAGCAACGUUGAUGUUAACUGCAGGUCUUUAUGUC